UAUGGGGUUGAGGUGCAAUAGGCGUGACACCUCCCCAGUUAGAAUUGACAUUUUCGUGCAGAGAAAAUGUUAAAUCGGAGUGAAUGCAAUUUCGUCUGACGGUUGUGUUUCCUCAGUGUUUUGUGUUUGUUGACAAGUGUUAGUGACUGAGUAUCGGCGUAUUUUUAAAAAAUGAUGGCUUUCCACUGUGCGCUGCGAAUUGAGUCAUGAGUAUCAUCUAGUGAUUCGAUUACGUCUGUUUCAGGACUAGCAAGUGAGAAGAGAUAUUUAUAAUGUCCGAGAAGUGGUUUCCAGGGAUGUCGAAUGGACUGCGUAACCCUAAUGUCACAUGUGGCUACGUCGGAGGACUUCGACUCUAUGACUAAUUGGACUUCGCAUGGAGAAUUGUCAGACACCUUGUAGAGUGGGUAAUUCUCUUUACAAAUGUCUAACGGUGUUGGAAAUUCUAUCGAUGGGUUGUUUUCUGCAAUUUCUUUAACAGCUUUCAAGAAAUGAGCCAUAGUAAAUAAAUGAGGGUGGAUUAGACCUCGUUUGGCAAAUAAUAUUCCAUCGGUUAUAUGCACGAAUAGAGGCUGAGUCGAACGAUUGUUGCAUGUUCGCAAGACUUAUCCGGCUUGAAAGCAAGUCUAAGUGGGGGCUGAGUGUGCAGUUGUCCGGAGGAAGUCUGCAUUUAGUCCUUGCUGACUGUAAGGAGUUUUGGAGCCUUUCCUUGGCAUCUUGGAUUUCGGGAAGAUUGACGUAAUGCAGAAUUUGGCAGAUUCCCAUAGUGCUACGUUUGCUAACUUUAUACGAUCUUUAUGUACUAUUUUGCAUUUUCGAUCACUAAUUCUAAUCUUAAUAUUAUUAUUAUCUGGGAUGUCCAUAAUUUGAAAGGGUCCGGUAUAUUCGUCGUCGAGCUUGGAUUUUCGGUUCCCUUUUAAAAGGUUAUGAGAUGCGUGGUCACGCAAUUCUUUCAAGGAGAGCACUGGUAAAAUUGGUGCCUUGGUCGGUCAAUGUCGCCUUUGGACAGCCGAAUUGGCAAAUUACGUUUUGGGAGAAUGCAUCAACGAUUUCGACGGAAGUUGCAUCUUUCAAUGGGAUUGCUAAUGAAUAUUUAAUCUAUUUCUACAAUUGUCAUAAGUGUGACGCGGUUUAUUGCAAAAGGAACAGACACUGGAUUGCCAUCGAGUGGCACGGAUUUGUGCGUUACAGUCUUUCGCGAAAUGCCCUUCCUUAUUGCAAUUCUGGUAUACGACGGGAGAGGCCAUUGAAUUUUGACAUUGUGUUAAUUUUUUACGGCGAGCAAUUUCGGCCUCGGCUGUACGAGCGAGUUCUAUUGCAGCUUCUAGAGACAACCGCUGUCACCAAGAAUCUUGUCACGUCCCGAGCGGCAGGAACGUUAAGUUGUGGGAAUUCCGCCGACAAAGGAUGAAAAUCCACUUUCUCGCGUCGGACGUUAUUUCGGAGUCACCUUUAAGUCUUUGUAUUGAAUUAAUUAAAGAUUGUCGAAUGAAUCUUAAAGUUUGUAAUAAAGGGACACAAUGUCGAACUGUUCA